GCAUUCACGAGGGUCAGCUCCAUGGCCUGGUCAUCCACAGCGACAACCACAACAGACCCAGCUGUGUUUUGGAGUGGGGGUUUGUGGCCAGUCCUCUGUACCGCAUCGAUAGACAUCUUACCCUUGCAGUAAAAGUGCCACAGAAAAUGGCUGAAUAUGACAAGGAUAACACUUUAGCUGACACUCCAGAGAUUUUCUCAACAAUGGUGAAGAAAAUGGGAGUUCG